CAAAAGUUAUGCAUUUUGUUUAAUACAUACAGUCAAUUGUCUGUCUGUAUAGAAGUGAAUUAUUGUGUUGCUUGUUACCAAUCUUUGGUCAUUUGUAUGUAAAAAAAAUAUAUAUAUACUUUACCUUUUGUCUGACCAUGUGGAUUUUAAUCCACCAUUGACCACAAGGUGUGAAUGAGUUGAGGCCUAGUUUCAUUGUUUGCUACCAUUUGCAUAGGAAAAGACUUUUCACUAAACUAGUUCACCAGGUUUUAUUGCUAAUUUGACCCUGUUUGUGUACUAAUUUACAUUUGUUUGGCAUUCAUGGAUUUGUCUAGUUGAAAAGAGAUUUGGACAAAAUUUAUUAAAUUAGUAGUUAAGAAAAAGAUACGUUUAGUAAAGCAGAUUCAGUGAAUAAUAGAUUUAUGUGUGCGUAUACACAGAAUAUUAGUAUAAAUAUAUAUAUGAUUUUGACUCAUGAAGGAGAGACCACUUUUUUAACAGCUGUGUGACCAUGCUUUUCAGCUACAGCUGGGGGAGAAUUUGUCCUUGUUGGGGGUGGGUAGUCUUGCCUGUAUGAGAAAAAAUAAACUGCAUUGUUUUGUAA